rnacentral:rRNA from 1 species
AGUGAACGCUGGCGGUAGGCCUAACACAUGCAAGUCGAACGGCAGCACAGUAAGAGCUUGCUCUUACGGGUGGCGAGUGGCGGACGGGUGAGGAAUACAUCGGAAUCUACUUUUUCGUGGGGGAUAACGUAGGGAAACUUACGCUAAUACCGCAUACGACCUACGGGUGAAAGCAGGGGAUCUUCGGACCUUGCGCGAUUGAAUGAGCCGAUGUCGGAUUAGCUAGUUGGCGGGGUAAAGGCCCACCAAGGCGACGAUCCGUAGCUGGUCUGAGAGGAUGAUCAGCCACACUGGAACUGAGACACGGUCCAGACUCCUACGGGAGGCAGCAGUGGGGAAUAUUGGACAAUGGGCGCAAGCCUGAUCCAGCCAUACCGCGUGGGUGAAGAAGGCCUUCGGGUUGUAAAGCUCUGUUGUUGGGAAAGAAAAGCAGCAGGUUAAUACCCCGCUGUUCUGACGGUACCCAAAGAAUAAGCACCGGCUAACUUCGUG